rnacentral:rRNA from 1 species
GCAAGUCGAACGAGAAACCUGAAUAGCUUGCUAAUUGGGUUUCUAGUGGCGGACGGGUUAGUAACACGUGAGCAACCUGCCUCAAAGUGGGGGAUAGCCUUCCGAAAGGGAGAUUAAUACCGCAUGUGGCCUUCGGGUCAAAGGUGCCUUCGGGUAUCGCUUUGAGAUGGGCUCGCGGCCUAUCAGCUAGAUGGUGAGGUAACGGCUCACCAUGGCAACGACGGGUAGCUGUUCUGAGAGGAAGAUU